CAAACAAAACCAUGUUAUCACAAUACAACACAAAGGCAACAAUAUGAGUAGGCAACAUGGUAACAUGGUUACAGUCUGUUCAUGUCUGAUAUGUCACCAGAAAACUGACAUGAGAGUCUUUUACAGCGCUACUUUGAGUUCAUGCUGAUAAAAAUAAACAUUGACGUAGCUUGACAGGAGGAUAUGCUCGUUUAAAGCUGGGGUUUAUAAAAGACAUGAAACAUCAGCAAGUGUUUUCACUUACAGACCAGAAUUAUCAAUCCAACCAGACUAGACUUCAUUUUAACAGCUUAUUUGAACAUACUGGCAGUGUUAGUUAUAAACAUAAGAUGGCGCCCCCAGUGCAGACGCCUGUUACAGCAGCUCCUGCUCACCGUCCAGCUUUUCUCUAUGUUUUUCUUUUUAACUUAAUUACUUUGAGUUUUUUUCAGUUUAGCUAGCUAGCACUUAUGUUUUGCUUGGAGAUGAAGACUGCUCUCUUUAUAGCAGUCUUUCUCCCAUUUUUCUUUGGAUAUGAUCGUGUGCUGGGACCAGGCACCCAGCCGUGGCUCCAUUGUUUACACCCGGGACCAGCUGUUAGCGCUACGACACACCGCGGUGCGGCCCAAGGACAGGCACAAUAUUCUCUGUGAGCUGCAGAGAAGGAGACGGUGAUGUUGCGCCGGAAUGCAGCGCCGACACCAGAGGAGAUGGUACAAACCCGUCCUCCCGUACGUCGUUAUGGAGAACAUAAGAUCGCUGCCCAACAAGAUGGACGAGCUGUCGGUACUGACUUGCCAUCAGAGGGAGUACCGGCAGAGCAGCGUGCUGGUGUUUACAGAGACAUGGCUGAAGUACCGGACACGAUCACCGUGCUGGACGGAUUCCAGCUCAUCAGGCACGACAGGACAGCGGACAGCGGUAAGAGGAAAGGACGAGGGCUGGCUGUGUUUGUGAAUGAUAGAUGGUAGGGAUGCACCGAAAUUAAAAUUUGUGGCCGAAGCCGAAUAAUAUUAAACGCUUGGCCGAAUACCGAGUACCGAAUAUCGUUGUUUAGUUUGUCAUUAGUUUUUGCAGAUGAACCCCCUCCAGAUUUGUCACGGUACCAAAAUUGGAUCCCACUGUACGAUACCAAUGAAAAUAUCACGGUUCUGAGUAGUAUCACGAUACCACAGUGAAAAUGAGGCAGAUGUGCCUUUUGUCAUUUAUAAAAAGAUAAAUCACUUUUCUAUAAUACAUCAAUGAUAUUUCAAUGGAAUACGUAAAUUACUUAUUGACUUAUUCAUACUUCGAAAACAGCAUCUAUGAGUGAUGAACAUAGGGGGGAUCAAAAUAAAUUAAAUUAAUAAAAUAAGAAUCAACCAGCCACCCUCCUCCCCUGACAGUCCCUUCAUAAGUAAAGAACAGUCCCUAAAGUGCGGUGAGGUUUGUGGGCCGUGAACGGCUCGUUUCUCCUCUGACACGUCACAUACCUGUGUUCGGCUGGCUCGGCUGUUCAGGUACUUCUGGGCAGUCAUGACACCAAGAAGAGGAUAUUACUGGAGCCGACUUCUCCGCGCCUAGGGCUGGGUACCGAACUUCGGUUCUUUUGUGGCACCGACCGAAAUGCUUCGGUAGUACCUAGUAUUGAAACACGCCUCGUCUUUCGGUGCCAAAUUUCGGUACCCUGAGGUUAAUCACGUGACGAAGACCUGAUACUGCUGCCGGUGAUUGGCUGUAAUGUUACACGUGAUUGCGGCAUGCAGGAAAAAUACGUGGUUGAGACGUCUUGUGGUUACGCCCACAGACGGGGUUCACGUGUCUGUGUUGUGAUAGUGAGCUGUAGUUGUAUGUGUCUCGAAACGGUUAAAAAAUGUCACCGAGCCCGAGGUCAAAAGUGUGGCUCCAUUUUAACAAGAUUGAUGCCAAUAGUGCGCGAUGCAAUAUAUGCAAAAAAGUCUUAAUUGCUAAGGCUGGCAAUACGACUAAUUUGAUGAAACACCUGACCGUGCACGGAAUCAAUUUAAGAGCAGAAAGUUGCUCCGUGUUUGACUGCAAGAAGAGUGGACCGCAGCCAUCCUCCUCUCAGCAUUCAAGUCCGCCUGUGGACGUUACAGAGCCCGAGCGGCCUGGUUCAAAAUAUCCACCACCGGACUCCGCUUCAUCUGAGAGUACCAACGAGGACGCCAUGUCUAGGAUAUCAACAGUAGCCUCUGACCCUGGUGUGAGGGGGACAAGGCCAGCCAGCGUGAAUCCAUUCACAAUGGCAGAAAAAGGAAAGAUGACAAAAGAAAAACAAGAUGAGUGCCACAGGGCAGUCACAAACUUUGUUGUUAAAGGUUUGCUGCCUUUUUCUACAGUGGAGGCUCCAUGGUGGAGGGAGAUGAUAAGAGCCCUAAACCCCAGAUACCAGCCCCCCAGCAGAGACAUGCUGUCAAAUACACUCAUACCUGCAUGGUAUGCAGUAGAAGGAAAUGUCAAGAGAGAAUUGCAAGACGUCAGAGAUGUGGCUGUGACCGCGGAUGGGUGGACCAGUGUGGCACAAGACCACUACUUGACUGUUUCAGUCCACUUUGUGAGAGAGGGUACCAUGAAGGAAAAAAUCCUGCAUACCAGGGCAGUCUACACAUCACAGACAGGGAAUGUAAUAGCUGAGGAGAUAGGGGAUAUUCUUGAUGAAUUCAACAUCAAAGAAAAAGUUGUUGCGAUCACUGUAGACAAUGCAGCUAAUAUGGAUGUGGCAGUAAAAAAGAUGAGCAUUAGAAAAAUUGGCUGCUUUGCUCAUACACUAAACAUUGCUGCUCAAAAGCUGUACACCAUACCUGUCAUCUCAAAGUGGGCAGGAAGAAUCAGAGCUAUGGUGGUGUGGUUAAAGAGGUGCAGCUUGGCUAAACCUGUCCUUAAAGAGAAGCAGCGUCUUCUCGAACAGGUGGAACAGCCUGUUCCUGAUGGUGGAGCGAUUUCUGGAGCAGUUUCCUGCCAUCCAGGCAGCCUCCAUGGACCCUCGGCUAAAAAAAAAAAUCAAUGGAGAAGGACAGGUAUGGAUAAGGAUGGGCAUUGUUAUUACCUCAUUCUUUCAUCAGUGUGAACUAAUGUGCUGGCCUGUGGUCUAGCUAAUAAAACAAUGUGUGUAUUUUUUUCAGACUGGAGAGACUUUCUGAUGAUGAUUAUAGAAAGGCAGAACAGUUCAUCAGAGUAAUGAAGAUACUCUAUACUUCAACCAUCUGCAUCUCCGCUGAAAGGAGUCCAACUUUGGGCCAGAUACUGCCCAUCUUGGGGAAACUCCAGCACUACUUCACAGUCACUGAUGAGGACUCCUCCUUUACACAGACCAUCAAGGACAAGAUCUGGGGUGACCUCUCAAAACGAUACCAAGAUGAGAGCAUCAGGCAGUUCUUGGAGGAGGGCACAGCCUUAGACCCAAGAUUCAAAACGAAAGUGGGCGAUGAAGUGUGGACAAGACUACAAGAGGAGCUGAUAACUAGGAUCUCACAACAGAAUAAAGGUGUGACCCAGGCCCAGCAGAUGGAGCAGGAGCUUGAAGGGACAGCUGGUGACCAUGAUGACAACUCUUCUGAUGAAGACUGUACAGCUGCAGUAACAACACUGAAGAAGCCAAAGCUUUCUGCCCUUGAGGAGCUAUUUGCCGAUGAGGACAUGGCAGUUGAAAUAAGACAAGAGAACACUUUUAGCACCACAGAGAAGAUUGAGGAAGAGAUACAGCGGUACAGAGGUCUGCCAUCUACCCUAACCUCAGUGAAUCCAGUAACCUGGUGGUGGAAUGCAAGGGACAAUAUGCCAAUGCUAUCAGACUUGGCAACCAGGUAUCUCUGUGUGCAAGCAUCAUCCACACUCUCAGAGCGCACUUUUUCUACUGCUGGGGACACCAUCAGCCAGGAGCGGGCCUGUCUGUGUCCUGAGAAAGCAGACAUGUUGAUUUUUCUGAAGAAAAACUGUUAAGUGAAAAAUAUGUAGCAGUGAAUAUUAGAUUGAUUUGUCACUUGUUUGCAAGUGUUCUUUUGCACUGGAAAUUAUUUGUUGUUUAAUUUUUCUGUAAGAAAACUGCUUGGAGUGGAAAACUACCAAAGCUGAAAAA